rnacentral:rRNA from 1 species
UACGUAGGGUGCGAGCGUUAAUCGGAAUUACUGGGCGUAAAGCGUGCGCAGGCGGUUUGUUAAGACAGAUGUGAAAUCCCCGGGCUUAACCUGGGAACUGCAUUGUGACUGGCAAGCUAGAGUAUGGCAGAGGGGGUAGAAUUCCACGUGUAGCAGUGAAAUGCGUAGAGAUGUGGAGGAAUACCGAUGGCGAAGGCAGCCCCCUGGGCCAAUACUGACGCUCAUGCGACGAA